AGAACCGAGCGAUCUUCAGUUUCUACUGCCAUGGCGCUCGAGUUCCGUUGCGGGCAUACAUCGAAACCCUAAAUCCCUUUCUUCUUCUAGCAGUAGGAGCUUUUCUCUCACUUCUCUUGCUCCGAAGAAAGGUUUUACACGAAAUUAUCCCUAUUUAUAUGUAUGUAUAUGCGUGAGAAACAAUGGCCGAUCCAAUGGGCUCUCGCGUAAGAUGAGAUGUGCGAGAGCUCAAUUUCACCCGGCCUAUAUCGAGUUUGAUUGCUUUUAAAGGGGCAUCCUCAAGGCUCAAGGAAAAUUUGUGAGUGAAGAUGGUGAGAGUGGAUGCAACUGCUGGUUUAGUUCCAAACUUUUGAAUUCCACAGCGGGGAUCUCAAAAUAGUUCAAUUGCAGAAGAUUAGAAUGAUAUGUAUCCCUGGUCAAGAAUGUGCUCAUAUCCUCAUUUUGAUUGCUCUCGUGUAUGGCUUGCAAAUGGACAACCGGAGGGUAGAUCAACAAGCCUGCUCAUUGCAUUCUCUUGAUUCUAGUAUUCCAAUAGUCUUUAAUCUCAUUAUCCGUACGGCCAAACAACUGAAAGAAACGAGAUGAUGCCAAACAGAGUGAGUGAUAGCAAACAAAGCACAUGAAAGAAAUUAUAUCUUUUUCUAUGGUGUAACAAUUUCGCCUGAUCUAAUAGCGCGAUAACAUAUUCAAACCAAUAAACACAUGCAAAUAGAGGACAAAGCUUCAACCAUUAAAAACUGCACUUUUAGUUUGAAGAAACAUGUAUUUUUUCUAAGUAGUUUUAUCACAUAAAUAUUGACAAA